rnacentral:rRNA from 1 species
GACGAACGCUGGCGGCGUGCUUAACACAUGCAAGUCGAACGGUGAACCCGCCUCGGUGGGGGAUCAGUGGCGAACGGGUGAGUAACACGUGGGCAACCUGCCCCCGGCUCCGGGAUAACUCCAAGAAAUUGGGGCUAAUACCGGAUAUUCACCGGGCACCGCAUGGUGUCUGGUGGAAAGGGUCUCCGGCCGGGGAUGGGCCCGCGGCCUAUCAGCUUGUUGGUGGGGUAGUGGCCCACCAAGGCGACGACGGGUAGCCGGCCUGAGAGGGUGAACGGCCACACUGGGACUGAGACGCGGGCCAGACUCCUACGGGAGGCAGCAGUGGGGAAUAUUGCGCAAUGGGCGGAAGCCUGACGCAGCGACGCCGCGUGGGGGAUGACGGCCUUCGGGUUGUAAACCUCUUUCAGCACCGACGAAGCCGGGUUUCCGGUGACGGUAGGAGCAGAAGAAGCACCGGCCAACUACGUGCCAGCAGCCGCCGUAAAAC